UUUAAAUUGAGAGUUUGAUCCUGGCUCAGGACGAACGCUGGCGGCGUGCCUAAUACAUGCAAGUCGAACGAAACUUUCUUACACCGAAUGCUUGCAUUCACCGUAAGAAGUUGAGUGGCGGACGGGUGAGUAACACGUGGGUAACCUGCCUAAAAGAAGGGGAUAACACUUGGAAACAGGUGCUAAUACCGUAUAUCUCUAAGGAUCGCAUGAUCUUUAGA
rnacentral:rRNA from 1 species